rnacentral:rRNA from 1 species
UAGGGAAUAUUGGGCAAUGGAGGCAACUCUGACCCAGCCAUGCCGCGUGCAGGAUGACGGCGCUCAGCGUUGUAAACUGCUUUUAUCAGGGAAGAACAGUUGUGGUGCGCCAUGAUGUGACGGUACCUGAGGAAUAAGCACCGGCUAACUCCGUGCCAGCAGCCGCGGUAAUACGGAGGGUGCAAGCGUUGUCCGGAUUUAUUGGGUUUAAAGGGUGCGUAGGUGGUUUGCUAAGUCUGGUUUGAAAGUAGGUCGCUUAACGAUCUAAUGUGGCUGGAAACUGGGGAACUUGAAUGAUUUGGCGGUAGCCGGAACGGGUCAUGUAGCGGUGAAAUGCAUAGAUAUGACCCAGAACACCGAUUGCGAAGGCAGGCUACUACGAGUUGAUUGACACUGAGGCACGAGAGCAUGGGGAGCGAACAG